UACGAAGGGGGGCUAGCGUUUGUUCGGAAUUACUGGGCGUAAAGCGCGCGCAGGCGGCUAUCCAAGUCAGUGGUGAAAGCCCGGAGCUUAACUCCGGAACUGCCAUUGAAACUGUUUAGCUUGAGGACGAGAGAGGUGAGUGGAAUUCCCAGUGUAGAGGUGAAAUUCGUAGAUAUUGGGAAGAACACCGGUGGCGAAGGCGGCUCACUGGACCAUUACUGACGCUGAUGCACGAAAAGCUAGGGGAGCAAACAGG
rnacentral:rRNA from 1 species